rnacentral:rRNA from 1 species
UUAAGCGACUAAGCGUACACGGUGGAUGCCCUGGCAGUCAGAGGCGAUGAAGGACGUGCUAAUCUGCGAAAAGCGUCGGUAAGGUGAUAUGAACCGUUAUAACCGGCGAUGUCCGAAUGGGGAAACCCAGUGCAAUUCGUUGCACUAUCGUUAACUGAAUACAUAGGUUAACGAGGCGAACCGGGGGAACUGAAACAUCUAAGUACCCCGAGGAAAAGAAAUCAACCGAGAUUCCCCCAGUAGCGGCGAGCGAACGGGGAGCAGCCCAGAGUCUGAAUCAGCUUGUGUGUUAGUGGAACGGUCUGGAAAGUCCGACGGUACAGGGUGAUAGUCCCGUACACCAAAAUGCACAGGUUGUGAACUCGAAGAGUAGGGCGGGACACGUGGUAUCCUGUCUGAAUAUGGGGGGACCAUCCUCCAAGGCUAAAUACUCCUGACUGACCGAUAGUGAACCAGUACCGUGAGGGAAAGGCGAAAAGAACCCCGGCGAGGGGAGUGAAAAAGAACCUGAAACCGUGUACGUACAAGCAGUGGGAGCACCUUCGGGUGUGACUGCGUACCUUUUGUAUAAUGGGUCAGCGACUUAUAUUCUGUAGCAAGGUUAACCGUAUAGGGGAGCCGCAGGGAAACCGAGUCUUAACUGGGCGUUAAGUUGCAGGGUAUAGACCCGAAACCCGGUGAUCUAGCCAUGGGCAGGUUGAAGGUUGGGUAACACUAACUGGAGGACCGAACCGACUAAUGUUGAAAAAUUAGCGGAUGACUUGUGGCUGGGGGUGAAAGGCCAAUCAAACCGGGAGAUAGCUGGUUCUCCCCGAAAGCUAUUUAGGUAGCGCCUCGUGAAUUCAUCUUCGGGGGUAGAGCACUGUUUCGGCUAGGGGGUCAUCCCGACUUACCAACCCGAUGCAAACUACGAAUACCGAAGAAUGUUAUCACGGGAGACACACGGCGGGUGCUAACGUCCGUCGUGAAGAGGGAAACAACCCAGACCGCCAGCUAAGGUCCCAAAGUCAUGGUUAAGUGGGAAACGAUGUGGGAAGGCACAGACAGCCAGGAUGUUGGCUUAGAAGCAGCCAUCAUUUAAAGAAAGCGUAAUAGCUCACUGGUCGAGUCGGCCUGCGCGGAAGAUGUAACGGGGCUAAACCAUGCACCGAAGCUGCGGCAGCGACACUAUGUGUUGUUGGGUAGGGGAGCGUUCUGUAAGCCUGCGAAGGUGUGCUGUGAGGCAUGCUGGAGGUAUCAGAAGUGCGAAUGCUGACAUAAGUAACGAUAAAGCGGGUGAAAAGCCCGCUCGCCGGAAGACCAAGGGUUCCUGUCCAACGUUAAUCGGGGCAGGGUGAGUCGACCCCUAAGGCGAGGCCGAAAGGCGUAGUCGAUGGGAAACAGGUUAAUAUUCCUGUACUUGGUGUUACUGCGAAGGGGGGACGGAGAAGGCUAUGUUAGCCGGGCGACGGUUGUCCCGGUUUAAGCAUGUAGGCUGGUUGUCCAGGCAAAUCCGGAUAAUCAAGGCUGAGGUGUGAUGACGAGGCACUACGGUGCUGAAGUAACAAAUGCCCUGCUUCCAGGAAAAGCCUCUAAGCAUCAGGUAACAUCAAAUCGUACCCCAAACCGACACAGGUGGUCAGGUAGAGAAUACCAAGGCGCUUGAGAGAACUCGGGUGAAGGAACUAGGCAAAAUGGUGCCGUAACUUCGGGAGAAGGCACGCUGGUGUGUAGGUGAAGCCCCUGCGGGUGGAGCUGAGACCAGUCGAAGAUACCAGCUGGCUGCAACUGUUUAUUAAAAACACAGCACUGUGCAAACACGAAAGUGGACGUAUACGGUGUGACGCCUGCCCGGUGCCGGAAGGUUAAUUGAUGGGGUUAUCCGUAAGGAGAAGCUCUUGAUCGAAGCCCCGGUAAACGGCGGCCGUAACUAUAACGGUCCUAAGGUAGCGAAAUUCCUUGUCGGGUAAGUUCCGACCUGCACGAAUGGCGUAAUGAUGGCCAGGCUGUCUCCACCCGAGACUCAGUGAAAUUGAACUCGCUGUGAAGAUGCAGUGUACCCGCGGCAAGACGGAAAGACCCCGUGAACCUUUACUAUAGCUUGACACUGAACAUUGAGCCUUGAUGUGUAGGAUAGGUGGGAGGCUUUGAAGCGUGGACGCCAGUCUGCGUGGAGCCAACCUUGAAAUACCACCCUUUAAUGUUUGAUGUUCUAACGUUGGCCCCUGACCGGGGUUGCGGACAGUGUCUGGUGGGUAGUUUGACUGGGGCGGUCUCCUCCCAAAGCGUAACGGAGGAGCACGAAGGUUAGCUAAUCCUGGUCGGACAUCAGGAGGUUAGUGCAAUGGCAUAAGCUAGCUUGACUGCGAGCGUGACGGCGCGAGCAGGUGCGAAAGCAGGUCAUAGUGAUCCGGUGGUUCUGAAUGGAAGGGCCAUCGCUCAACGGAUAAAAGGUACUCCGGGGAUAACAGGCUGAUACCGCCCAAGAGUUCAUAUCGACGGCGGUGUUUGGCACCUCGAUGUCGGCUCAUCACAUCCUGGGGCUGAAGUAGGUCCCAAGGGUAUGGCUGUUCGCCAUUUAAAGUGGUACGCGAGCUGGGUUUAGAACGUCGUGAGACAGUUCGGUCCCUAUCUGCCGUGGGCGCUGGAGAAUUGAGGGGGGCUGCUCCUAGUACGAGAGGACCGGAGUGGACGCAUCACUGGUGUUCGGGUUGUCAUGCCAAUGGCACUGCCCGGUAGCUAAAUGCGGAAGAGAUAAGUGCUGAAAGCAUCUAAGCACGAAACUUGCCCCGAGAUGAGUUCUCCCUGAGACUUUAAGUCUCCUGAAGGAACGUUGAAGACGACGACGUUGAUAGGCCGGGUGUGUAAGCGCAGCGAUGCGUUGAGCUAACCGGUACUAAUGAACCGUGAGGCUUAACCU